GCCCUUGUAGUGUAGUCCGGUCCAGCACACGGCCCUGUCAAGGCCGUACCCCGAGUUCAAAUCUCGGCAAGGGCG
rnacentral:tRNA from 1 species